GACGAACGCUGGCGGCGUGCUUAACACAUGCAAGUCGAACGGAAAGGCCCUGCUUUUGUGGGGUGCUCGAGUGGCGAACGGGUGAGUAACACGUGAGUAACCUGCCCUUGACUUUGGGAUAACUUCAGGAAACUGGGGCUAAUACCGGAUAGGAGCUCCUGCUGCAUGGUGGGGGUUGGAAAGUUUCGGCGGUUGGGGAUGGACUCGCGGCUUAUCAGCUUGUUGGUGGGGUAGUGGCUUACCAAGGCUUUGACGGGUAGCCGGCCUGAGAGGGUGACCGGCCACAUGGGGACUGAGAUACGGCCCAGACGCCUACGGGAGGCAGCAGUGGGGAAUAUUGCACAAUGGGCGGAAGCCUGAUGCAGCAACGCCGCGUGCGGGAUGACGGCCUUCGGGUUGUAAACCGCUUUCGCCUGUGACGAAGCGGGAGUGACGGUAAUGGGUAAAGAAGCACCGGCUAACUACGUG
rnacentral:rRNA from 1 species